CCCAAGUGUCAUUCGUGGGGAGAGUCGGAAGAACCCAUCCAGGAGGGAUGCAGCUUCCUUCGGGGUGAUCAGCAGGCACCAAGUACUGAUCCCAUUCGCCUGAUCUGGAUUAGAGCUGCUACAGAAAGCUCAGCUUGUAAGUAGUAUUCCCUGAAAGGUUGCAGCAGAUGGGCGAGAGGAAAUUCAUCUGGAUCCCCAAACAGCUUGGAAUCAAUUUCACGUUUCUGCUGUAGAAGCUUUUCCCUUUCCUUCUUCUGCUUCUUUUCCAGUUCUCUCUUCCUUUCUUCCUCCUGUUCUCCUUCCAACAUCACUCUCAGUGCUCUCUCCUCAGCUUCAUACAGCUCCGUGCGAUUUUUGAGCAAUGCUCUGAGACUUUCCACCUGAUUUUCAAAGGCUUCAUCUGCUGAGGGAGGUGGACAAACACCUUUCCUGGCAGCAGCCUCUUUCCUCAGUUUCCGAAGCUUUUCUAAAGAGCCCAGGAUGUCCACCAUUCUCUUUGUGUCUGCCUGCUUCUUCCUUACUUCAGAUAAGACGCUGUCUGCAGCAGCCUUAAGCUCCCGCUCCCGGUUCUUCUCCUCCACCUCCUGGAUGCACUUGGCCCUCCAUCGGUCGAUCUCAGCCUCCCGCUCCGCAGCGCGGGCCGCCUCCUCCUCCUUGGCCGCGCGGGCCUCCCGCUUCCUCCUCUGCAGCCGCUCCCUCCUCUUCCUCGCCUUCUCGGCCUUCCUGCCCAGUUCCCGCAGGUAGCCGGGCUCCCUCAGCGGCCGCACCGUCUCCCGCAGUCCCUCCAGCAGCGCUUCGGCCUCGGCCCGUUCCCGCUCCCAGCCCUCCUCACAGCCUUCGGCCUCGCGGCGCCGCAGGGCCCGGCACAGCGCUGCCAGGCGGCUCACGGCCCCCAGCGCUCGCACCGCCAGCUGCCGCCCGAGCUCGGGGCUGGCUCCGCCGGGAGGCAGCGGGGGCGCCGCCGGAGGGCCGCGCCGGGCGAGGAACUCCGCCAACCACCGCUCAUCGCGCUGCCGCUGCGCCGCGUCCUCGUCCUCCGGGUCCCGCGGGGGCGGCGGCCGCUCGGCCGAGGGCCACGGGGGGAAGAGCGGCGGGGCGGCGGGGCCGCGGAAGAAGGGGCCGGGUUCGGAGGAAGGAGGCAGGAGGAAGGGAGGGAGAGACGGGCGGGCGGCGGGGACGGAGAAGGGAGCGGGAGGCGGCGGGAACGGCCCCGGUGCCUGAGGGGGGAAGGCGCGGAACGGCGGCGGCGGGAAGCGGCCCGGGAACGGCGGCGGGGGUUGCGCCAUCUUGGAGGCGCGGCGGCGACUGCGACAGCGCCCCCUGGCGGCCGGGAGGAACGCGCCUGGUGGGCGGUGACGGCGCUCUGAGGGCGGGGCCGGCGCGUUCCGCUCGCAGCCGUGCGGCGGCUGAGGGGGAAGGACGGCUCCUCAGGGUCGGUCCGGCGCAGCCACGCCAGAGAAGCGGGCAGUGCUACCCGAGGGAAAGGCUGCUUUGCUUAGAGCCAUAGAAUCA
rnacentral:lncRNA from 1 species